AGCUGGGAAUGGUGUCUGGUACAAAGAUCGGAGCAGAAUUCCACUGAUGCCAGAGAAGCUGGAGUCGAGGGAAUCACGACCGCUACCAGAACCUGCAAAGGAAGUCUAAACUAGGGUUGGAGGUGCUCCGAUAAGACCCUCCGAUGCUCAAGUCAGUACUCUGCUUCAACAGAAAUGGAGCACUCGAAUAGAAUUUUAGCAGAGUUUAGAGAUAGUGCUUAGAGCUUCGAGGAGAACGU
rnacentral:lncRNA from 1 species